GUACAAUAAGCAAAAUAAGGGCGUAUGGGGGAUGCCUUGGCUCUCAGAGGCGAUGAAAGGCGUGAUAAGCUGCGAAAAGCUACGGGGACGGGCACACACCGAUUGAUCCGUAGAUACCUGAAUGGGGCAACCCACUAUGUUGAAGACAUAGUACACCGAUAGGUGGGCAAACCCGCUGAACUGAAACAUCUAAGUAGGCGGAGGAGAAGAAAACAAAAGUGAUUCCGUAAGUAGUGGCGAGCGAACGCGGAUUAGCCCAAACCAAACAUGUUACGGCAUAUUUGGGGUUGUAGGACCACGAUAUUCAAUGUAAAACGAACUAGAAUCUACUGGAAAGUAGAACCAAAGAGGGUGAUAGUCCUGUAUAGGUAAGUGAUAUAAUUGAUAGUGGUAUCCUGAGUAGGGCGGGACACGAGAAAUCCUGUCUGAAUUUGGCGGGACCAUCCGCUAAGGCUAAAUACUCCUGAGAGACCGAUAGUGAACCAGUACCGUGAGGGAAAGGUGAAAAGAACCGUGAAUAACGGAGUGAAAUAGAUCCUGAAACCAUACGCUUACAAGCGGUCGGAGCCCCUUCGUGGGGUGACGGCGUGCCUUUUGCAUAAUGAGCCUACGAGUUAACGUUGCUGGCAAGGAUAAGUGGUUAAGCCACGGAUCCGUAGCGAAAGCGAGUCUGAAUAGGGCGCUUUAGUCAGUAGUGUUAGACGCGAAACCGUGUGAUCUACCCAUGGACAGGUUGAAGCUGUGGUAACACAUAGUGGAGGACCGAACCCGUUGACGUUGAAAAGUCUUGGGAUGAUCUGUGGGUAGGGGUGAAAGGCCAAUCAAACUCGGAAAUAGCUCGUACUCCCCGAAAUGCAUUUAGGUGCAGCGUUAGUUAUAAAGUUAUAUAGAGGUAGAGCUACUGAUUGGAUGCGGGGGCUUCACCGCCUACCAAUUCCUGACAAACUCCGAAUGCUAUAUAAUGUUCACUAACAGUGAGGGCUUGGGUGCUAAGGUCCAAGUCCGAGAGGGAAAGAACCCAGACCAUCAGCUAAGGUCCCCAAAUAUAUACUAAGUUGAAAGAACGAGGUUUGUCUGCAUAGACAGCUAGGAUGUUGGCUUGGAAGCAGCCAUUCAUUUAAAGAGUGCGUAACAGCUCACUAGUCGAGCGGACGAGCAUGGAUAAUAAUCGGGCAUAAGUAUAUUACCGAAGCUAUGGAUUUACAAUUUAUUGUAAGUGGUAGGGGAGCAUUCUAACAGGGUAGAAGGUGAGUCGUAAGGCCUGCUGGACCGGUUAGAAAAGAAAAUGUAGGCAUAAGUAACGAUAAUGCGGGCGAGAAACCCGCACACCGAAAGACUAAGGUUUCCACAGCUAUGCUAAUCAGCUGUGGGUUAGUCGGGACCUAAGGCGAACCCGAAAGGGACAGUCGAUGGACAACGGGUUAAUAUUCCCGUACUACUGUUAACUGUGAUGGGGUGACGGAGUGAUGAAAGUGCCGCGAACUGACGGAAUAGUUCGUUGAAGUACCUACCUAUAAGCUGCGCAGGCAAAUCCACGCGGCUUGGGGAAAUACGAUAGUACUCGGAGACUUCGGUCAAAGAGAUAGUGCACCUAAGGGCUUCCAAGAAAAACCUCUAAACUUCAGGUUAAUAGUACCCGUACCGCAAACCGACACAGGUAGUCGAGAUGAGAAUUCUAAGGUGCUCGAGAGAUUCAUGGCUAAGGAAUUAGGCAAAAUAGACCCGUAACUUCGGGAGAAGGGUCGCCAGCAGCAAUGCUGGCCGCAGUGAAGAGGUCCAGGCGACUGUUUAUCAAAAACACAGGGCUCUGCAAAAUCGUAAGAUGAAGUAUAGGGCCUGACACCUGCCCGGUGCUGGAAGGUUAAGUGGAGAUGUUAUCUUCGGAGAAGCAUUGAAAUGAAGCCCCAGUAAACGGCGGCCGUAACUAUAACGGUCCUAAGGUAGCGAAAUUCCUUGUCGGGUAAGUUCCGACCUGCACGAAUGGUGUAACGAUCUGGACACUGUCUCAGCCAUGAGCUCGGUGAAAUUGUAGUAGCGGUGAAGAUGCCGCUUACCCGCAGUGGGACGAAAAGACCCUGUGCACCUUUACUAUAGCUUAGUAUUGACCUUGGACAAAUGAUGUGUAGGAUAGGUUGGAGACU
rnacentral:rRNA from 1 species